GAGGGUGAGCUUAGAUCCCUCAGCACGUUGUGUGUUAAUAGUGUUGCUUUUGGCCGAGCAGCAUGGUUAGUGAAUC
rfam:Prevotella intermedia 17 chromosome II, complete sequence.